GACAGCUGUUUAAAUGGAGAUUUAAACUAACCUUGUCCUGUCACAAAUCCCAUUGCUUGGAUGCUUGAGCUGCUGCCGCGAAGCCGUUUGUGCAGGGAGGCUGUUUGCCAGCAGAAGGGGACUGGUGCCAGGUUACCUUGUUCUCUGGGAGCUGGUCAGUGCUGUGGGGUCUGCAGCCAGCCCUCCCUGCCCAGCCAGCCUGGGCACACAGGGUGCUGUGCCUGGUGCCAGCUGUCUCCAGGCAGCCCUGGUGACCCUGCCGCAUCCUCCUUUUUGCCAGCUAUCACCUCAAGGAGAAGCAAUACAUUUUCUUCAGAGACUUGGUGCAGCCUCCAGCGCAGAAAUUUCAGCCAGUGUUAUUGCCUGUCAGUUGUAAUUUAGAAUUUCAGCCAGCAAGGAUAUAAUAAGUGAAGACAUGCUCCAGAAUGAGUUUGUCCUUAUGGAUCCUUAUUCUGGCAACUUGAUCUUCAAAAGAGACAUCAGAAAACAGGUAAAUAACAAUUAUUUUGAUCCAUUUAGUUUUGGUAUUGAAGUACAAUUUAUGGGAGGUGCACAAAAGAGCAC
rnacentral:lncRNA from 1 species